UACGUAGGGGGCAAGCGUUGUCCGGAUUUAUUGGGCGUAAAGAGCUCGUAGGUGGUUUGGUAAGUCGGAUGUGAAAUCUCCACGCUUAACGUGGAGGGUGCAUUCGAUACUGUCGUGACUAGAGUCCGGUAGAGGAGUGUGGAAUUCCUGGUGUAGCGGUGAAAUGCGCAGAUAUCGGGAAGAACACCCGUGGCGAAGGCGGCUCUCUGGGACGGUACUGACGCUGAUGCACGAAAGCGUGGGGAGCAAACAGG
rnacentral:rRNA from 1 species